AUACGUAGGGUGCGAGCGUUAAUCGGAAUUACUGGGCGUAAAGCGUGCGCAGGCGGUUGUGUAAGACAGGUGUGAAAUCCCCCGGGCUUAACCUGGGAACUGCGCUUGUGACUGCACGGCUAGAGUACGGCAGAGGGGGGUGGAAUUCCACGUGUAGCAGUGAAAUGCGUAGAUAUGUGGAGGAACACCGAUGGCGAAGGCAGCCCCCUGGGCCUGUACUGACGCUCAUGCACGAAAGCGUGGGGAGC
rnacentral:rRNA from 1 species